UACGGAGGGUGCAAGCGUUGUUCGGAAUCACUGGGCGUAAAGGGCGUGUAGGCGGUCUGUUAAGUCUGAUGUGAAAUCCCCUCGCUCAACGAGGGAACUGCGUCGGAUACUGACAGACUCGAGUACCGGAGAGGAAGGUGGAAUUCCCGGUGUAGCGGUGAAAUGCGUAGAUAUCGGAAGGAACACCGGUGGCGAAGGCGGCCUUCUGGACGGAUACUGACGCUGAGACGCGUAAGCGUGGGGAGCAAACAGG
rnacentral:rRNA from 1 species